UUACGGGAGGCAGCAGGAAGGAAUUUUGGACAAUGGGGGCAACCCUGAUCCAGCAACGCCGCGUGGGCGAUGAAGGUCUUCGGGUCGUAAAGCCCUUUUCUGUGGGAAGAGGCAGGACGGUACCACAGGAAUAAGUCUCGGCUAACUACGUGCCAGCAGCCGCGGUAAAACGUGGGAGGCAAGCGUUAUCCGGAUUUACUGGGCGUAAAGCGCAUGCAGGCGGCAUCGCAAGUUGGGCGUGAAAUCUCUCGGCUUAACCGGGAGGGGUCGUCCAAUACUGUGGAGCUUGGGUGCAGGAGAGGGAAGCGGAAUUUCCAGUGUAGCGGUAAUAUGCGCAGAUAUUGGAAAGAACACCAGUGGCGAAGGCGGCUUCCUGGCCUGUAACCGACGCUAAGAUGCGAAAGCUAGGGGAGCGAACGGGAUUAGAUACCCCGGUAGU
rnacentral:rRNA from 1 species